rnacentral:rRNA from 1 species
UACGUAGGUGGCAAGCGUUGUCCGGAAUUAUUGGGCGUAAAGCGCGCGCAGGUGGUUUCUUAAGUCUGAUGUGAAAGCCCACGGCUCAACCGUGGAGGGUCAUUGGAAACUGGGGAACUUGAGUGCAGAAGAGGAAAGUGGAAUUCCACGUGUAGCGGUGAAAUGCGUAGAGAUGUGGAGGAACACCAGUGGCGAAGGCGACUUUCUGGUCUGUAACUGACACUGAGGCGCGAAAGCGUGGGGAGCGAACAGG